rnacentral:rRNA from 1 species
CCCUUAGAUGUCCGGGGCUGCUCGCGCGCUACACUGAAGGAAUCAGCGUGCUAAAACCAUUGUCGAAAGGCAUUGGUAAACCCAUUAAAAUCCUACGUGAUUGGGAUCGGGAAUUGCAAUUAUUUCCCUUGAACGAGGAAUUCCCAGUAAGUGUGGGUCAUAAGCUCGCGUUGAUUACGUCCCUGCCCUUUGUACACACCGCCCGUCGCUGCCCGGGACUGAGCCGUUUCGAGAAAAGCGGGGACUGCUGCUGUCGGGGCUUUCGGGCCUUGGCUUCGGUGGAAACCGCUUUAAUCGCAGUGGCUUGAACCGGGCAAAAGUCGUAACA